CCUACGGGGGGCAGCAGUGGGGAAUAUUGGACAAUGGGCGAAAGCCUGAUCCAGCCAUGCCGCGUGUGUGAAGAAGGCCUUCGGGUUGUAAAGCACUUUCAGUGGGGAAGAAAGCCUUGGGGCUAAUACCCUCGAGGAGGGACAUCACCCACAGAAGAAGCACCGGCUAACUCCGUGCCAGCAGCCGCGGUAAUACGGAGGGUGCGAGCGUUAAUCGGAAUUACUGGGCGUAAAGCGCGCGUAGGCGGUCUGAUAAGCCGGUUGUGAAAGCCCCGGGCUCAACCUGGGAACGGCAUCCGGAACUGUCAGGCUAGAGUGCAGGAGAGGAAGGUAGAAUUCCCGGUGUAGCGGUGAAAUGCGUAGAGAUCGGGAGGAAUACCAGUGGCGAAGGCGGUCUUCUGGACUGACACUGACGCUGAGGUGCGAAAGCGUGGGUAGCAAACAGGAUUAGAUACCCCAGUAGUC
rnacentral:rRNA from 1 species